rnacentral:rRNA from 1 species
AACGAACGCUGGCGGCAGGCCUAACACAUGCAAGUCGAGCGGACCCUUCGGGGUUAGCGGCGGACGGGUUAGUAACGCGUGGGAACGUGCCCAAAGGUACGGAAUAGCCUCGGGAAACUGAGAGUAAUACCGUAUGUGCCCCUCGGGGGAAAGAUUUAUCGCCUUUGGAUCGGCCCGCGUUGGAUUAGGUAGUUGGUGGGGUAAUGGCCUACCAAGCCGACGAUCCAUAGCUGGUUUGAGAGGAUGAUCAGCAACACUGGGACUGAGACACGGCCCAGACUCCUACGGGAGGCAGCAGUGGGGAAUCUUAGACAAUGGGGGAAACCCUGAUCUAGCCAUGCCGCGUGGACGAUGAAGGCCUUAGGGUUGUAAAGUCCUUUCUAGCUGGGAAGAGUAAUGACGGUACCAGCCAGAAGAAGCCCCGGCUAACUCCGUGCCAAGCAGCCGCGGUAAACUGUAGUCGU